rnacentral:rRNA from 1 species
UACGGAGGGUGCAAGCGUUAUCCGGAUUCACUGGGUUUAAAGGGUGCGUAGGCGGGAAUGUAAGUCAGUGGUGAAAUCUCCGUGCUUAACAUGGAAACUGCCAUUGAUACUAUGUUUCUUGAAUUAUCUAGAGGUCAGCGGAAUAUGUCAUGUAGCGGUGAAAUGCUUAGAUAUGACAUAGAACACCAAUUGCGAAGGCAGCUGGCUGCAGGUAUAUUGACACUGAGGCUUGAAAGCGUGGGGAUCAAACAGG